rnacentral:tRNA from 1 species
GUUAAUAUAGUUUAAAAAAAACAUUAGAUUGUGGCUCUAAAAACAGGAGUUUAAACCUCCUUAUAAACC